UGUACCUAUUUAAAAUCUUUUACUCCUAUAACUACAAACUAGUCAGUCUGACAAAGGAAACUUUGUACCUAUUUAAGAUCUUUUACUCCUUUAACUACAAACUAUUCAGUCUGACAAAAAAAUCAGACUAGAAUUAAGACAAUCAUCUCUGAUCGUAUAAUUUGGUAGGAAAUUUUUUUUAUGCCCCACCUACGAUAGUAGAGGGGAAUUAUGUUUUCUGGUCUGUACGUCCGUCCGUCAGUCCGUCCGUUCGUCCAACUUCAGGUUAAAGUUUUUGAUGAAGUUGAAGUCCAAUCAACUUGAAACUUAGUACACAUGUUCCUUAUGAUAUGAUCUUUCUAAUUUUAAUGCCAAAUAAGAGUUUUGACCCCAAUUUCACGGUCCACUGAACAUAGAAAAUGAUAGAACGAGUGGGG
rnacentral:lncRNA from 1 species